CCUAAACCCGCUACCUUCAUGCGGAUUCGUGUUAUUGUUAUUGUGUCUGCCCAUUUUGCUGCCAUACGCGUGCCAAUGGUGUUCCCGUGACUUAGUAAAGAAAGCAUCUUGCUUCCAACGGUGUCAGGUGUCGAGCUAUUGUUCUCAGCUCCAGUUUCUCUCAAGUCUAUAUAAAGCCAUUCUCUCGGUCUCUUCCUGGUACCUUGUUUUUAGUUCAGAGUAUACUUUUGAGUAAGAAAUUCUUUUGUAGUCUGGGAGGGUGUUCUGUAAAAGGAGAGGAAUAAUUGUGAGAGAAAGUUUGUACGAGCUGUUGUGUUCUUGAAAGUUUUAAAGCAGAGAACUUGUGUGAGAGUUUCUUGCCUAUUUGAGUUGGUGUAGGAGAAGAAAAUCCUACAGGGCUUUGAUGGACACAAGAAAGAGCAACUUUUAGUACUGCAACUAUUUCCUCUUGCAUAUCCAAAUCAUGAGCUAGAAAAGGGUCUAACACAUCAACAAAAGGCUUUCUUUCUUCAAUGCUGAGAUGAAACCAUUGAACUAUAUCCAUUUCCAUAGACCCAACUUGCAUCAGUGGCAACUUCCCAGAUAUCAUCUCCAGCAUAAUCACUCCAAAUGAGUACACAUCCCACUUCUGAGAUGGCUUUCUCCCAUUUGAGGAUUCUGGUGAAUUGUAUUGAGAUCCAAAUGUCACUGCAGGUGAAUUUAUGGCUGACAUUUCAUGAGGAAGAUACUGAGGUGGUGUUUCGGGUGCGAGUUGUUCCAUCUGAAAUGUUUGGGAUUCUCUAGUUAUGUUUGCAAGGCGGCCAAGUCCCAAGUCAGAGAUUUGGGGUUCCAUGUUCUGUCCAAGUAAUAUAUUGCUAGGCUUUAAGUUUCCAUGGACAUACUUUUUGGGACUGUAUUCAUGAAGGUGACUCAAACCUUUUGCUAUUCCUUUCAUGAUUCUCAGACGAAGAGGCCAAGAAAGUGGUGUGAAGAAUACCAUUCCAGGCUUCCCUGAUCAUCAAAUUUUUCCAUGAAAAUAAUCAGUUCAAUAAAAAAAAUACUAAACGAGAUGAAUAGUGAAUAUCUUUAAAUAAAUUGUUAUGUGAAACUUGAUGUCAGAGUUAACAUCUAAAUAUUUGAGUAGUUAAGGUUUAGUAGUGAUGGACUUGGUACAUUAUAACUACUAAAUGCUGCUAUGGUUUGAAUCAAAGGACAUUGGUGAAUAGUGCUGUUGUUUGAGUUCAGUCUUUAAAAAUUGUGAAUUAGAACAUAUAGUACAGAUGAAAGAAAUAUACAUUCAGAUUUUAUUUUUUCUAA